UGGGGAAUUUUGGACAAUGGGCGAAAGCCUGAUCCAGCAAUGCCGCGUGUGUGAAGAAGGCCUUCGGGUUGUAAAGCACUUUUGUCCGGAAAGAAAUCCUUGGCUCUAAUACAGUCGGGGGAUGACGGUACCGGAAGAAUAAGCACCGGCUAACUACGUGCCAGCAGCCGCGGUAAUACGUAGGGUGCAAGCGUUAAUCGGAAUUACUGGGCGUAAAGCGUGCGCAGGCGGUUUGCUAAGACCGAUGUGAAAUCCCCGGGCUCAACCUGGGAACUGCAUUGGUGACUGGCAGGCUAGAGUAUGGCAGAGGGGGGUAGAAUUCCACGUGUAGCAGUGAAAUGCGUAGAGAUGUGGAGGAAUACCGAUGGCGAAGGCAGCCCCCUGGCAAGUACUGACGCUCAUGCACGAAAAGCGUGGGGAGCAAAACAGGAUUAGAUACCCUGGUAGUCCACGCCCUAAAANGAUGCCAACUAGUUGUUGGGGAUUCAUUUUCCUUAGUAACGNAGCUAAACGCGUGAAGUUGACCGCCUGGGGGAGUACGGUCGCAAGAUUAAAAACUCAAAUAAUUGAC
rnacentral:rRNA from 1 species